GGGGAACACUUUACAAUGACAAGACUGCAGAGGUAGAGGGGAACACUUUACAAUGACAAGACUGCAGAGGUAGAGGGGAACACUUUACAAUGACAAGACUGCAGAGGUAGAGGGGAACACUGUACAAUGACAAGACUGCAGAGGUAGAGGGGAACAAUGACAAGACUGCAGAGGUA